rnacentral:rRNA from 1 species
UACAGAGGGGUGCGAGCGUUAUCGGAAUACUGGGCGUAAAGCGCACGUAGGUGGCGACGUAAGUCGGGUGUGAAAGCCCCGGGCUCAACCUGGGAAUUGCAUUCGAGACUGCAUUGCUGGAGUACGGAAGAGGAGGGCGGAAUUCCCGGUGUAGCGGUGAAAUGCGUAGAUAUCGGGAGGAACAUCAGUGGCGAAGGCGGCCCUCUGGUCCAGUACUGACACUCAAGUGCGAAAGCGUGGGGAGCAAACAGG